AGCAGCCGCGGUAAUUCCAGCUCCAAUAGCGUAUAUUAAAGUUGUUGCAGUUAAAAAGCUCGUAGUUGAAUUUCGGGAUUAGUGCGCUGGUCAUGCCUUUGGUAUGUACUGGUGUUACUGAUUUCUACCUUCUGAAGAACCGUUAUGUCAUUCAUUUGGUGUGGCGGGGAAUCAGGACUGUUACUUUGAAAAAUUAGAGUGUUUAAAGCAGGCUCGCGCUUGAAUACAUUAGCAUGGAAUAAUGAAAUAGGACGUUUGACCCUAUUUUGUUGGUUCCUAGGAUCGACGUAAUGAUUAAUAGGGAUAGUUGGGGGCAUUAGUAUUCAAUUGUCAGAGGUGAAAUUCUUGGAUUUAUUGAAGACUAACUACUGCGAAAGCAUUUGCCAAGGAUGUUUUCAUUAAUCAAGAACGAAAGUUAGGGGAUCGAAGACGAUCAAAUACCGUCGUAGUCUUAACCAUAAACUAUGCCGACUAGGGAUCGGAUGAUGUUAUUUUUAAUGACUCAUUCGGCGCCUUACGG
rnacentral:rRNA from 1 species